GACGAACGCUGGCGGCGUGCUUAACACAUGCAAGUCGAACGGAAAGGCCCUGCUUUUGUGGGGUGCUCGAGUGGCGAACGGGUGAGUAACACGUGAGUAACCUGCCCUUGACUUUGGGAUAACUUCAGGAAACUGGGGCUAAUACCGGAUAGGAGCUCCUGCUGCAUGGUGGGGGUUGGAAAGUUUCGGCGGUUGGGGAUGGACUCGCGGCUUAUCAGCUUGUUGGUGGGGUAGUGGCUUACCAAGGCUUUGACGGGUAGCCGGCCUGAGAGGGUGACCGGCCAAAUUGGGACGGAGAUACGGCCCAGACCCCUACGGGAGGCAGGGGUGGGGAAUAUUGCAAAAGGGGGGGAAGCCUGAUGCAGAAACGCCGGGGGGGGGAUGGCGGCCUUGGGGUUGGAAACCGCUUUCGCCUGUGACGAAGGGUGGGUGACGGUAAUGGGAAAAAAAGCACCGGCUAACUACGU
rnacentral:rRNA from 1 species